rnacentral:rRNA from 1 species
CGUGCUUAACACAUGCAAGUCGAACGGUGAAGGGACCAGCUUGCUGGUUCUGGAUGAGUGGCGAACGGGUGAGUAACACGUGAGUAACCUGCCCCCUUCUUCUGGAUAACCGCAUGAAAGUGUGGCUAAUACGGGAUAUUCUGGGUCUGUCGCAUGACGGGCCCGGGAAAGAUAUUGCUUCGGUGGGGGAUGGGCUCGCGGCCUAUCAGCUUGUUGGUGGGGUGAUGGCCUACCAAGGCGGUGACGGGUAGCCGGCCUGAGAGGGUGGACGGUCACACUGGGACUGAGACACGGCCCAGACUCCUACGGGAGGCAGCAGUGGGGAAUAUUGCACAAUGGGCGCAAGCCUGAUGCAGCGACGCCGCGUGAGGGAUGGAGGCCUUCGGGUUGUAAACCUCUUUCGCCAGUGAAGCAGGCCUGCUCCUUGUGGGUGGGUUGACGGUAGCUGGAUAAGAAGCGCCGGCUAACUACGUGCCAGCAGCCGCGGUAAUACGUAGGGCGCGAGCGUUGUCCGGAAUUAUUGGGCGUAAAGAGCUCGUAGGCGGCUGGUCGCGUCUGUCGUGAAAUCCUCUGGCUUAACUGGGGGCUUGCGGUGGGUACGGGCCGGCUUGAGUGCGGUAGGGGAGACUGGAACUCCUGGUGUAGCGGUGGAAUGCGCAGAUAUCAGGAAGAACACCGGUGGCGAAGGCGGGUCUCUGGGCCGUUACUGACGCUGAGGAGCGAAAGCGUGGGGAGCGAACAGGAUUAGAUACCC